UGAGUACGAUGCUCUACGGAGCAGAAGUGCGUGACGUCAUGCUUCCUAGAAAAUCCCGGACCACGUUAAUCCAAGUCACCCGUACCCGAAACCGACACAGGUGGGUAGGUAGAGUAUACUAAGGGGCGCGAGAUAACUCUCUCUAAGGAACUCGGCAAAAUGACUCCGUAACUUCGGGAGAAGGAGUGCCUUAUUUAUAAGGUUGCAAUAACAAGAUCCAAGCAACUGUUUAUCAAAAACACAGGUCUCCGCUAAGUCGUAAGACGAUGUAUGGGGGCUGACGCCUGCCCAGUGCCAGAAGGUUAAAGAAGUUGGUUAGUGUAUGCGAAGCUGAUGACUGAAGCCCUGGUGAACGGCGGCCGUAACUAUAACGGUCCUAAGGUAGCGAAAUUCCUUGUCGGGUAAGUUCCGACCCGCACGAAAGGCGUAAUGAUUUGGAUACUGUCUCGGAGAGAGGCUCGGUGAAAUAGACUUGUCUGUGAAGAUGCGGACUACCUGCACCAGGACAGAAAGACCCUAUGAAGCUUUACUGUAACUUGAAAUUGGAAUUGGACUUUGCUUGCGCAGUAUAGGUGGGAAGCGUUGAAAAUAUUCUUGCGGGAGUAUUGGAGCUAUCAGUGAGAUACCACUCUUGUAAUGUUAGAUUUCUAACUUUGAACCAUAAUCUGGUCAAAGAACAGUUUCAGGUGGGCAGUUUGACUGGGGCGGUCGCCUCCCAAAUGGUAACGGAGGCGUACAAAGGCUUCCUCUGAACGGAUAGAAAUCGUAUCUAGAGUGUAAAGGCAUAAGGAAGCUUGACUGUGAGACCUACAAGUCGAGCAGGGACGAAAGUCGGUCUUAGUGAUCUGACGGUACUGAGUGGAAAGGCCGUCACUCAACGGAUAAAAGUUACUCUAAGGAUAACAGGCUGAUCUCCCCCAAGAGUUCACAUCGACGGGGAGGUUUGGCACCUCGAUGUCGGCUCAUCGCAUCCUGGGGCGGUAGUACGUCCCAAGGGUUGGGCUGUUCGCCCAUGAAAGCGGUACGCGAGCUGGGUUCAGAACGUCGUGAGACAGUUCGGUCCAUAUCCGGUGUAGGCGCUAGAAUAUUGAGAGGAGCCUUCUUUAGUACGAGAGGACCGAGAAGGACACACCGCUGGUGUACCAGUUAUCGUGCCAACGGUAAACGCUGGGUAGCUAUGUGUGGAGUGGAUAACCGCUGAAAGCAUCUAAGUGGGAAGCCCACCUCGAGAUGAG
rnacentral:rRNA from 1 species